AGAUAGCACACGUUUUGGCUGAAGUCUGGCAUACGUUUGGUAUUUUUGGGUUUGUUUUGGCAUAGAAGCAGCAAAGUAAAUGCUUUCGGCUGAACUGUGGCAAGAUUGUGGUUUACCAUAAUAGAUAAAAAGGCGCCAGCGGUAGAUAACUAGUUAUGGCAUAUGUCUGGUUAACCAGAUUUACUGACGUAUGCAGGUGCGUUUUGGCGUCCUUGUGGUUUGCCAGAAGACUGAUUAAAGACCGGGAAAUUUUUCUAGAAGAGACGUCUAGUACUUCACUAACUCCAGCACUAUCACAGACGUGCAUAAGACAUUCAGUGGAGCUGCAGCAAGCAGUAUAAAUGGUGCAUAAGGCAUUCAGUGGAGCUGCACCUUAAGGCAAUAGUAAUGGAUGCUGUGAGAAGAAAUUCUGUUUGCUCUGCCAACAGUCGACCCGUUUACAGUAAUAAGUAUGCUGAUAUGACUUAACUAGAAUUGCGGUUCCAAAGAACUGCAAGAGUGGGUUUGAUCAGUGGCAUGGAACUCGGCCUCAUCCAAGGAUUCCAACAGUACCUCAUUUAUGAAAAUCGGGCACACGGAUCAAAAGUUAUCUGCAUUAACGCAACAUCCAAUAAGCUAAAACGCAUAAAUAACAUGGUUGCUAUGCUGGUUGCUAUGGUGGUCGCUAGGUUGACAUUACAGGGGUGGUUUCUAGGUUGUUGCUAGGGUAAUUAGUUAGUUGCUAGUAAGCCAUCUUAAGCUGACUGCAUAAAGUGAUUAUUUUAAGAGAUACAUUUUCAAACCAGAACUGUGUAUAGGUCAUAGUUAAAAACGUAUCAGAAUCUCAGAAAUAAUCACGUAAUGCAGCCAGUUUAAGAUUUUUUAAGAAGUCAGAUUUUUUAAAGGCAAUCAAAUUUCUGCUAACUCUCUUCUGGCUGCGGUUAAAGGCCAGCGCCUCCUGAGAGGCCUGAGGGGUCAGUUCUGAGGUUGUUGGCUGCUGGAACCGAAAAAUGGACUGCAUUUUCUUAAAAGACAAUGUGACUGAAGUGCGGGCAAAGUUUGCACAGAAAUGUACGAUUUUUCCCACCCUCAUCGACCUUGUCAUAAAACUUGUUUAAAUGAUCA